rnacentral:rRNA from 1 species
UACAGAGGGUGCAAGCGUUGUUCAGAAUUAUUGGGCGUAAAGGGCGCGUAGGCGGUGCGGUAAGUCUGUAGUGAAAUCUCUGGGCUCAACUCAGAGUCUGCUGCAGAAACUGCCGUGCUUGAGUGUGGGAGAGGUGAGUGGAAUUCCCGGUGUAGCGGUGAAAUGCGUAGAUAUCGGGAGGACACCUGUGGCGAAAGCGGCUCACUGGAC